GAUGAAGAACGUAGUGAAAUGCGAUACGUAAUGUGAAUUGCAAAUUCAGUGAAUCAUCGAAUCUUUGAACGCACAUUGCGCCUCCUGGUAUUCCGGGAGGCAUGCCUGUUCGAGCGUCAUCAAAAACCUCAACCCAUGAUUUAUUGUGAGUUGGUUCUGCAUUGGACUCCUUGUGGGUCCUUUGCGAAAUCCAAUGGCGAAGAGCCACGCAACCAAAGCGUAGUAUAACUAUUUCGUUAUGGAAGCGUGGGUGCCUCUGCCGUAACCCCCUAUUUCUUAGUUUUUGACCUCGGAUCAGGUAGGGAUACCCGCUGAACUUAAGCAUAUCAAUAAGCGGAUGA
rnacentral:misc_RNA from 1 species